GAGUUUGAUCCUGGCUCAGGACGAACGCUGGCGGCGUGCCUAAUACAUGCAAGUCGAGCGGACCGACGGGAGCUUGCUCCCUUAGGUCAGCGGCGGACGGGUGAGUAACACGUGGGUAACCUGCCUGUAAGACUGGGAUAACUCCGGGAAACCGGGGCUAAUACCGGAUGCUUGAUUGAACCGCAUGGUUCAAUCAUAAAAGGUGGCUUUUAGCUACCACUUACAGAUGGACCCGCGGCGCAUUAGCUAGUUGGUGAGGUAACGGCUCACCAAGGCGACGAUGCGUAGCCGACCUGAGAGGGUGAUCGGCCACACUGGGACUGAGACACGGCCCAGACUCCUACGGGAGGCAGCAGUAGGGAAUCUUCCGCAAUGGACGAAAGUCUGACGGAGCAACGCCGCGUGAGUGAUGAAGGUUUUCGGAUCGUAAAACUCUGUUGUUAGGGAAGAACAAGUACCGUUCGAAUAGGGCGGCACCUUGACGGUACCUAACCAGAAAGCCACGGCUAACUACGUGCCAGCAGCCGCGGUAAUACGUAGGUGGCAAGCGUUGUCCGGAAUUAUUGGGCGUAAAGCGCGCGCAGGCGGUUUCUUAAGUCUGAUGUGAAAGCCCCCGGCUCAACCGGGGAGGGUCAUUGGA
rnacentral:rRNA from 2 species